GCAAAUAAUCUGCUGAUCAAGGUAUAAAAAGGCCUCACAUUUUGCUGUGAAUUUGGAUAAGUCGUAAGGUGCAGAGAAAGAGAGGAUCUGAAGAUUCCUCAACCAAAAAAAGACUAAUGUGAGCCAAUCAGCCAGCCUACAAAAUUUGCUGAUGCACUCUUGGCAGAUCAACCAUGGGCAGAGAUUGAAGGAACAAGUAGGUGCUUCAGGUGGGUCACAGAUGAAAGAAGGAAAGAAAGAAGGAUUGUUUCUGGGAGAGCUACAGCUGAAAAACGUGAGGACCCAGGGAAAACUGGGUGUGCCUGUGAAAAGAUAAAAGUAGAGGUUGAACAAGUAGAAAGAAUCUAAGAACAAAGUAGAAAGAUUAAGGGUGAUAUAUUUAUCACGGUGAAAGAUAUGGAAUGCAUCUGGAUGUUGGAGUGGAAGAAGAAAACUAGGAAUAGGGAAUGAACAUGUAUCCAUUGGAUUGAUUGGUCCUUUUGCUUACAAAAACAAACAAAAGCAAACAAACAAAAAUCCAAAACCAUUCACUUCUGUUUAUUGUGAUAUAAAGCAUUGAAAUUCAUUGAGAGCACAGUCCUUCCCAUCAUCAUGGUCAUUAACAAAGACACCAAUCAAUGUUUGUAUUUUCUCCAUUCUCCAUCCUGGAGGAAUACCUGUAUAUUUUUCUUCUCAGGUUGGAAAGUUUUAAUUUUUUUUUUUAACUAUAAGCAAAAAUUAAAACCAAAGAGGCUGAUCUGGGGCCACAGAAGCCAUCUAGAUGGAUACUUCCUCAGCCCACAAGUAUUUUGGCCUGCAGGGAAAAUACAAGUCUAAUGAAGAAGUUCUGUUUGGAAUUAUUUCUUUUAUAGCUAGAUUGGGAAAGAUAUUAUAUUCAUUACCUUUGUUAAUUUCUCAUUUAUGUCUGAUGUGCCUCAUUCACUAUUCUGAUGCUCUUUUCAGCUCUCUUUCUAGCAUUAGUUGAACAAUUUAUUUUGAUUCUUUGAUGAUCCAUUAGGUAUUCCACUGACUACUACCAUCCAAAUCUGAUUUUAAUAGCACUUCAUUUGGGCUAAAAAAACUCAAAUUAAUAUCAUUUGUUCUUCAGUAGUAAAACGUGUGUAGAGAACAAUUCAAGAUAGAUCCAGUUUUAUUUCUAUAACAUAUAUUUGUAUUUACAUAAUAAACCUUGUUUAAAUAUCAUGUUCUAGCAACAGUUAUAAAGACUGCUG
rnacentral:lncRNA from 7 species